rnacentral:rRNA from 1 species
AUAACAAUCAGAAAUGACUGCUAAUACCGCAUAAGACCACAGCACCGCAUGGUGCAGGGGUAAAAACUCCGGUGGUACAGGAUGGACCCGCGUCUGAUUAGCUGGUUGGUGAGGUAACGGCUCACCAAGGCGACGAUCAGUAGCCGGCUUGAGAGAGUGAACGGCCACAUUGGGACUGAGACACGGCCCAAACUCCUACGGGAGGCAGCAGUGGGGAAUAUUGCACAAUGGGGGGAACCCUGAUGCAGCGACGCCGCGUGAGUGAAGAAGUAUUUCGGUAUGUAAAGCUCUAUCAGCAGGGAAGAAAAUGACGGUACCUGACUAAGAAGCCCCGGCUAACUACGUGCCAGCAGCCGCGGUAAUACGUAGGGGGCAAGCGUUAUCCGGAAUUACUGGGUGUAAAGGGUGCGUAGGUGGUAUGGCAAGUCAGAAGUGAAAACCCAGGGCUUAACUCUGGGACUGCUUUUGAAACUGUCAGACUGGAGUGCAGGAGAGGUAAGCGGAAUUCCUAGUGUAGCGGUGAAAUGCGUAGAUAUUAGGAGGAACAUCAGUGGCGAAGGCGGCUUACUGGACUGAAACUGACACUGAGGCACGAAAGCGUGGGGAGCAAACAGGAUUAGAUACCCUGGUAGUCCACGCCGUAAAC